UAUUCCCGUCUCCUUCUCCCCUGCAGUUCUCCUAACAAAAAUGGAAUCCCAAGAAAAAACCCCCACACAGCCCGCCGCCCAACGCCGUCGUUCGUCGAUCUCCGUCGAUCGGCUGUCUUCGUAGAUUUCACUCGUUCGUCGUUCAUCUUCUUCUAGAUGAGGAAGAGACGCGGAGAGGGAUUGGAGAGAAAAUUAAAGUGGAUUGGAGAUCUGAGAUUUCUAUGAAUUGCUAAUUCCUUAAUUUUCUCUCUCUUUUCUCACACCUUUGCUCUGUCAAUCCUCUCUGCGUCUCUUCCUCAUCUAGAAGAAGAUGAGCGACGGACGAGGGAGACUCAGAUCUCCAAUCCACUGUAUUGUUGUUAAGGAUACGGAUAAAGUGGAUUGUGGAUCUGUGAUGAAGAGGAGGUGGUACUUUGGCUCUUCAGUCGGGGAGAAUUUGUUAGUCAGACUAGGUGCCUGGUGUUGCUUCUGUGGAAGUAAUUGGAGGGCAUAGAGUUGACUUCCAUGAUGAGAGACGGGUUGGUGAACUUCUGAGGUUAAUGAUUGAACUAUUGGAGGGCAUAGAGUUGACUUCCAUGAUGACAGACGGGUUAGUGAACUACUGAGGUGCCUGGUGUUGCUUCUGUGGAAGUAAUUGGAGGGCAUAGAGUUGACUUCCAUGAUGGCAAAUGGGUUAGUCCCCCACUUCAAACUCUUCUCGUUCCUCUAAGUUCCAACUUCUACUGUCUCUGAGUCUUAUUCCAUCACGGAGGAACUGAAAUGUCGUAGGUGUUUGGAUCUGUUUCUUUCUAUUUUUGUUGGAGAUAUUUUUGUGUUUGAUUUUUGUUCCUUUAUGUGUAGGCAUUUUCUUUAAAUUUUGAUCUUCUUCAUCUUCUAUUGCACCAUUAAGUUACGUUGCUUGCUAAUGUUUCUUUUUCCUGUUUUGCAACACGAAUGAAAAAAUUAAGCCCAAUUAACCAUCAUUUAACAGUGAGAGCAAAGGGGAACCGCCCACUUUGUAAGAAGAUGCACAUUAACCAUGCGAAGUUACCAGAGUAUCGUGCUUUACUCUCAACAAGUUAAAGAUCUAAUGGAGUUUCAAAGUUACAAGCACUCUCUUCGGGUUGGGGUUCGUUUCUUCUUUUUUUCAAAUCCUUUUCCAAUUCUGUUUCCUCAUCUUUAAACAUUCUAAUUUGCUUUUUUAUUUGUUUUAUUGGUUUACAAAGUUACCUAUGGUAAAUAUAAUACAGCUUUCUCUGUCAGUUUUGUAUUUUUUGGUUAUAAGGGCAUUUGUGUCCUUUUCUUUAUUGAAGCAUUUUGACCCCAAACAGGGACUGCCUUUUAUAAUAGAGGAGAUUUGGGGUCAAAGGGUCCUAGGAUCAUUAACCAAGGGAGAGAGGGUGAGUUGGGAGGAGAGAAGGCUUGUUUUACCUCAUCUUGCCUCAAAUUC